AUGAUCACCGGGAAGGACAUCUACGACGUGCUUGCGGCGGUGGUGCCGCUGUACGUGGCCAUGUUCAUGGCGUACGGGUCGGUGCGGUGGUGGGGCAUCUUCACGCCGGACCAGUGCUCGGGGAUCAACCGCUUCGUGGCCGUCUUCGCGGUGCCGCUCCUCUCCUUCCACUUCAUCUCCACCAACGACCCCUACGCCAUGGACUACCGCUUCCUGGCCGCCGACUCGCUGCAGAAGCUCGUCAUCCUGGCCGCCCUCGCCGUGUGGCACAACGUGCUGUCCCGGUACCGGUGCCGCGGCGGCACGGAGGCCGGCGAGGCGUCGUCGCUGGACUGGACCAUCACGCUCUUCUCCCUGGCGACGCUGCCCAACACGCUGGUGAUGGGCAUCCCGCUGCUGCGCGCCAUGUACGGCGACUUCUCGGGGUCGCUCAUGGUGCAGAUCGUGGUGCUGCAGAGCGUCAUCUGGUACACGCUCAUGCUUUUCCUCUUCGAGUACCGAGGCGCCAAGGCGCUCAUCUCCGAGCAGUUCCCGCCCGACGUCGGCGCCAGCAUCGCCUCCUUCCGCGUCGACUCCGACGUGGUCUCGCUCAACGGCCGCGAGGCGCUGCACGCCGACGCCGAGGUCGGCCGCGACGGCCGCGUCCACGUCGUCAUCCGGCGGUCCGCGUCGGGGUCCACCACGGGCGGUCACGGCGCCGGGCGCUCCGGGAUCUACCGCGGCGCGUCCAACGCCAUGACGCCGCGCGCGUCCAACCUCACCGGCGUGGAGAUCUACUCGCUGCAGACGUCGCGGGAGCCCACGCCGCGGCAGUCCAGCUUCAACCAGUCCGACUUCUACUCCAUGUUCAACGGGAGCAAGCUGGCCAGUCCCAAGGGCCAGCCCCCCGUCGCCGGCGGCGGUGGUGCGCGCGGGCAGGGGCUUGACGAGCAGGUCGCCAACAAGUUCAAGGGCGGCGAGGCGGCGGCGCCGUACCCCGCGCCCAACCCCGGCAUGAUGAUGCCGGCGCCACGUAGGAAGAAGGAGCUUGGGGGUUCUAACUCCAACUCGAACAAGGAGCUGCACAUGUUCGUGUGGAGCUCUAGCGCGUCGCCCGUGUCGGAGGCCAACCUCCGCAACGCCGUCAACCAUGCCGCGUCCACUGACUUCGCCGCCGCGCCGCCGGCGGCAGCCACGCCACGCGACGGCGCCACACCCAGAGGCGUGAGCGGCACGGUGACGCCGGUGCUCAAGAAGGACGCCAGCAGCGGCGCGGUGGAGGUGGAGAUCGAGGACGGCAUGAUGAAGAGCCCGGCGACGGGGCUGGGCGCCAAGUUCCCGGUGUCGGGGUCCCCCUACGUGGCGCCGCGGAAGAAGGGCGCCGACGUGCCCGGGCUGGAGGAGGCGGCGCACCCGAUGCCGCCGGCGAGCGUGAUGACCCGGCUCAUCCUCAUCAUGGUGUGGCGCAAGCUCAUCCGCAACCCCAACACCUACUCCAGCCUCAUCGGCCUCGUCUGGUCACUCGUCUCCUUCAGGUGGAACAUUCAGAUGCCUACAAUAAUCAAGGGGUCCAUAUCCAUCCUGUCUGAUGCAGGUCUAGGGAUGGCUAUGUUCAGCUUAGGUCUCUUCAUGGCUCUGCAACCAAAGAUUAUCUCUUGUGGAAAGUCUGUCGCGACGUUCGCGAUGGCGGUGAGGUUCUUGACUGGGCCGGCGGUGAUCGCUGCGACCUCAAUCGCCGUGGGGCUCCGAGGAGUGCUCCUACAUGUUGCCAUUGUUCAGGCAGCACUUCCACAAGGAAUUGUUCCAUUUGUGUUCGCCAAGGAGUACAAUUGCCAUCCUCAAAUACUUAGCACAGCGGUUAUUUUUGGAAUGCUGGUGGCGCUCCCGAUCACCAUACUCUACUACGUUCUCCUUGGGAUAUAG
rnacentral:rRNA from 1 species